rnacentral:lncRNA from 1 species
GCAGGAAGUGUGUAGGAAGCGUGGCGCCUCAGCCACAAUCGUAAUCACCUUUAAUCUCUUACUCAAAAUAACCCAAAGUUAAGCUGACCCUCGGUCUAUCUUGAGGCCCUCGGCUGCCCCCGACUUGAAGAUUCUCCCCCGUCGCGUCUAAGUGGCCGCUCCAAGCUCCUGUCCCCGCUGGCGUCUCCCUGCCUCACCAUCCGCCGCGUUCCUCCACCAAAAGUUGACGCCGCAUUCUGGACUUCUCGCUUUCCUCCCCCCACACCUGGUCCAACUCCAGCAGCAUCUAAUCCACCUGCAGAAGCAUCUGGAAUCACUCCACUCCUACCACAACUGCCCAAACCCACCUCCGGCGGGGACGACGCCCACGGCUCCACCUCGUCUCCCGGCACCCACAAUCCAUUCUCCCUCCACAGCCGGAGGGAGCCUCGCUAACCACCAAGGCGGUCCUGCGGCCCCACGCAGCCCUGAGGGCGUCCAGUUCUCCGCGCGUGGAGGAGAAUCCGGCCUCCAAACACGAUCUCCAGGGCCCACCGGAUCGGCCUCCGCUCCUUCUCGCUCCCAGUCCCCCGGUGCACGCCCCCUUCCUGGCUGAAGAACCUGCACCAGCCGUCCCUCCGCCUGGGAAGCUCCAGCUCCCUC